AUUGAACGCUGGCGGCAGGCCUAACACAUGCAAGUCGAGCGGAUGAAGGGAGCUUGCUCCUGGAUUCAGCGGCGGACGGGUGAGUAAUGCCUAAGAAUCUGCCUGGUAGUGGGGGAUAACGUCCGGAAACGGGCGCUAAUACCGCAUACGUCCUGAGGGAGAAAGUGGGGGAUCUUCGGACCUCACGCUAUCAUAUGAGCCUAGGUCGGAUUAGCUAGUUGGUGGGGUAAAGGCAUACCAAGGCGACGAUCCGUACCUGGUCUGAGAGGAUGAUCAGUCACACUGGAACUGAGACACGGUCCAGACUCCUACGGGAGGCAGCAGUGGGGAAUAUUGGACGAUGGGCGAAAGCCUGAUCCAGCCAUGCCGCGUGUGUGAAGAAGGUCUUCGGAUUGUAAAGCACUUUAAGUUGGGAGGAAGGGCAGUAAGUUAAUACCUUGCUGUUUUGACGUUACCAACAGAAUAAGCACCGGCUAACUUCGUG
rnacentral:rRNA from 1 species